rnacentral:lncRNA from 1 species
GAUUAAAACAACCAUGUAAUUAUUCCCACUGUUCUUGACUUCUUAUCUUCAAAUUAACACGCUUCUAUAUAUUUACAAGAGUAAACUGUCAAAAUGGUCCCUGAGGUUUGGGUCCUUGUGUUUGCAAAUACGAGUUGGUCCAACGGCUUCACAGAGUUAGUCCCAGUGGUUAUAACUUAUAACUUAUAAAUUUUGUAUUCGUGUGAUGUUUAUCAUUAACUUGUGUUAGAUUUCUCAGUUAAGUAUGUACGAAAUUACUAGAUUACCGAAUUAAAAAAAAAAAAAACAUUAAUCACAUUGCUCCCUCUCUUACCAGGUCUCUCUCUCCUUAGUUCUUUCUUCUCAAACACCCACCGGCCAUCACCCAGGGGCGGACCUACAUUCAUCCGUGGGUAGGCGUGCGCACCCCUUGAAAAAAAAAUUUGUGUUAUAUUUAAGUAAAAAUCACAAGCGCCCCCCAUAAAAUUUUACAAACGCACCCCUUAAACAGUUGCAACUAAAGAGAAAAGAAAAAAAAAGAAUAAUAAAGUGCCUGAGUUUUUUUCCGGUGAACGGAGCCGGCAACCUUGAAGGUCUCUGCAAUAUAAAGGAAAGAAGAUGAUGGUUCAUGUAAGAUAUAAUAUACUUCAUUCUUUUUCUCUUGGAGUUUGUACACAUGCCAGUUGUGUAAAAGUGGAGAACCUAUCACCAAAUCUAGUGUCACUUAUAAGUCAUAACCUAUGUAUAUAAUUAUUUAUUACUUUUAUAUUUCAAAGAAAUGAAGUACACUCGGUUUUACAAUAUUCAAAACCUAUGUUUAUAAUUAUUUAUUACUUUCUUUUUUUAUUUCUUUAAACUAAAUUACUUUAUUUUUUUAUUUCUUUACAUCAAGUGGAGUGACGACUGACGACACAACUAAACUACAUUAAUCAACCGUAAGUUUUACAAUAUUUCAAAACUUAAAGAUGAGGGGGUUACUAUCACAUUCUCUUUCGAUAGACUUGAAGCUCUUCAUAGUCAGGCGUGAUAGAAAAUCUUCUUUCAAAAAGAGACAAAGACCAAAGAUGACAGACGAUGCUCUUUAUAGGUUUGUAUCUUGAUUUAUUUAUAUAUAAACUUUUUUAUAUUUGUUAUCUUGAUAACGAAUUAAGGUAAUUAAUUACGACAUAUUAUUAUAUGUAGUCAUUAUUUAAUAUUUAUUAAAAUAUUACCUAGUUUAUAUAAUUAUUCUUUAACCACUUUACUUAACAAUUUAACCCAUCAACUUUCAUUUAACAACUUAGCCAUUAGCCCAAUAAACAAUUGUAAUUCAAGCCCAAUUAACCCAACUCAUUUAAAUUUGAAGUUAAAUAAAAUAACCCAACCCAACCGCCCCUUCCAAUUCUUUCUCCAGCUCUCUUCUUCUGUUCGCAAUUUUAAACAUGUUGUAAUGACGUUUGACGUGUUUUGAUGGUUAUAUAAAUUUUUAGUUUGAUGUUCUUUUGUUUUAUAUGGCCCGACCCAAUCCCACCCGAUAUGAACCGAAUUUUUUUAUACACCUAGGGGCCUAAAAUUUUUAAAAAUAUCUUGCAACACUAUGGAAAAAUUCCUGGGUCCGUCACUGUCAUCACCACCUUCACACUCCACUAUUUAAAAGAUUCGGCAAAGCACCAACAAAAGGACAAACUAGAAGAACGUGUGAUUGAAUCAAAUUAGGCAUUCUAUUAAACCACAACUUACCUACGUCUAAACUCUUUUCGCACAUACUUAACUAAGAAAUUUAUGUUUUUGUUUUUUACUUUUUUAAUUCUUUAUGAGCAAUAUAGUAAUUUCACACAUACUUAACUGAAAAAUUAACAUAAGUUAGUGAUAAGGACCAUACGAGUGUAAAAAUUACAACCACUGGGACCAACUCUGUAACUACUGAAGCCUUG